UUUAGGUAAAAAAUUGAAAUGCAAGAUGCUUUACACCCAGCAAAACAGUCUUUAAAAAUACCCCCUACCCUCUAGCAGAUUCAUUCAGAAUUCCCCCAUGGAUAUGGCCUAAACAUUCUCCAUGUUAUGGAAACACAAUGACAUUGCUUAUGGACUUCAGUUUCACAUGUUUUGAUGACGAAAAGAUGCAGGACUUUGUCCACAGAGAAUAUAAAAGCAGCUUUUUGCAGAAUCAAAAGAUGAUGUCAAUUCUCUAUUAGAAAGAAAUAAUUAAAACUAGAUAAUGGUUAUGAACAGCUCUGACCUGCUGGGAGCCUGAAGGCUUUGCUUCACUCAGGACUCCACUUCUUGUGACUGCAGGUCAGCCCUACGCAAACAAAGCCUUAACAGAAAUGUUACGGAGGAAAUAAUAGCCAUUUCCAAUGAUAAUACACAAUUUUAGCACCUACGCUUGGCUGAUUUAGGUAUUCGGCUAACAUGUCAAACAGCCUGUCUUAGUUAGGUGAGCCUUUAAUGGGUAACUGGCAGACUCUGGCAGCCUUAUUUCUGUUUUAGAUUUGGUUUGUCAUUGGGUAUCCAUUACCUGCCAUUCAUCUUUGAUCUCUUUGGACAGGCCUGAUCAAAAGAUGUCAUUUGACCUACUCCACUUGGCAGAAACUUGUAUGACUCUCAUAAAGGGGGCACUCCAGCUAUAAAUAAAAUGACAUUAUUAUUUUUCUGUCCUAUCAUGUAGAAGAGACAAUUAUGAUAAUGCAGUGUCUGUCACUUGGAGCCCAGCAAAUUGCUAGUUCUCACGCAACUGUUUAGCUUUCUUAUUUGUUUUUUGUUUGUUUUCUUCCAUUUCAAGCUGAAAAUAAAACAGAAUUGAAAUCACUAAUGCUCUGCCUCACACUCUGACAGUCUCAGGGUUUCCUUUUAUGGGACUGAUGUGCAGAUGUGACCAUCAGACUGUUUGUCAGUGGUGGGUGGUAGUUAAGUGCUGCGUUGGCAACACAUCCCAACAAUGGAAUCAGGUUUAUACUUCAUUUCCACCUCUGAGCGCGAGCUCCUAUCUGAAUGCAACACUGGUAGAUAUUACAACUAACAGAUAAAAAUCACGGAGAGAAUUUAUUGUAUCUUUAAUAAAGCAACAAUAGAGGAAAUGUAUGAGCCCUUUCUCUACUGCCAGGGGGCUUACGGAUGAGGGGGGGUUCUGGAAAGGAUGAGCAACAAGCCAACUGUCGGGAUGUUGAUUGUCUUUUGGUAUUUUUCCAAGCGGCACGUAUACCCCAUUCCAAUGCA
rnacentral:lncRNA from 1 species